CGAAUCACCCCGGCAUUCUCGCUGGCAAACCUGAAGACACGUCAGAAAACCAGCCGAUCGGGGUGGGUCUCAUUGCUAAGGACCUCCGGGAUGUGUUUUCCAGAUCCUUCUGCCAACACCUUAGAGCCUCGCUUAACCUCAGAACCAGCCACAUCAUCCCUAAAAUGAAAUGAGGCUCUCAGGCUACCUUCUCUUAUGGAGCAUCAAUCUGAUCCCAAGAGAAUGUUGGGCUUCUAAGACACUCUGUUUAGAAGUUUGUCUUCUUGGCACAAAAUGGCCUGCUGGGCAAAGAACUCCCCCAUGCCUCUACUGACAGUAUGAACGCUGUCCUUUCUGGACGAGUAGGACACAAGGAAAAUCAACUACUGAACCUUGCCAAGACAGGACUUUCGUGGAUUUCUUGCAUUAGAGACCCCCACACUGAUGUACACCGCAGCACUGUUUGGAAUAGCUCAACUGUGAGCAUGCUACUUGUCCAGAGUACAAGUGAAGAUGACCAGCCCCUCCAGCAGAGCAGAGCACAUCUCUGUUGUGAUGAGCUGUAGCUCUGGGCCCAGGAGCUUGUGGUACAGAGGCUGCCCUUUCCCCUGGGAUAAACAGGGAAAGAAUGGUGGGCAACUCCAGCUUUGCUUUCUUCUCUUUCUUUCUGGACAGUAAAUAAAUCUUAUUACUACUGUG